rnacentral:rRNA from 1 species
GAUGAACGCUAGCGACAGGCCUAACACAUGCAAGUCGAGGGGCAGCGCGGAGUAGCAAUACUUUGGCGGCGACCGGCGCACGGGUGAGUAACACGUAUGCAACCUGCCUGUAAGAGGGGAAUAACCCGGAGAAAUUCGGACUAAUACCGCAUAAUACCACGAGACUACAUGGUUUUGUGGUUAAACAUUUAUGGCUUACAGAUGGGCAUGCGUAUGAUUAGAUAGUUGGUAGGGUAACGGCCUACCAAGUCUACGAUCAUUAGGGGUUCUGAGAGGAAGGUCCCCCAACUGGUACUGAGACACGGACCAGACUCCUACGGGGAGGCAGCAGUGAGGAAUAUUGGUCAAUGGGCGAGAGCCUGAACCAGCCAAGUCGCGUGAAGGAAGAAGGUUCUAUGGAUUGUAAACUUCUUUUGCAGGGGAAUAAAGGACGGUACGUGUACUGUUUUGUAUGUACCUUGCGAAUAAGGAUCGGCUAACUCCGUGCCAGCAGCCGCGGUAAA